UCCAUGCUCAUGAGAAAUGGCAAGAAAUUAGACACAGUGAAAAAUGCAAAGACAUCAAGCCAUGCCUUUAUAAAGCAGGAAGUUCCUGUGUGUGUGUUUGUGACUGAUCUGCAGUGACUUACAGCUCAGAGCACUGAGAGCCUCAACAGAGAACUGAACUGAUCUGAUUGAACAUGGACAGAUGCUUCAUACUGAUUCUCAUUGUGGGAACAGGUUUGGUGACUGGAGACAGUAUUGAGCCAGAUAAAGGGACAGAACAAACUUCUAAAGAAACAGAAACUGUCAAGCUGAGCUGUUCAUAUAGUGCAAACAGUGAAUAUGUUUAUCUGUACUGGUACAGACAGCAUCCCAACAGAGAACCAAAAUUCUUAUUAUAUAAAUAUGCACCGUCAUUGGGUGAUUAUGAAGACACCUCUAAUGAUCGGUUUCAUUCAGCUACAACACGUACAUCCACUGAACUCACUAUUACUGAUGUACGUCUGUCAGAUUCAGCUCUCUAUUAUUGUGCUCUAAGAGUAGCAGCCCAGUGAUACAAAACAUGAAGAAUGUUGUACAAAAACCUGAAGCUCUUUUCAUUUUUAAAAUAUCUAGUGAAAACCACAAUCAAAACCACAAUCUAUCCAGC